rnacentral:lncRNA from 1 species
UCUCAAUAAGAGGCAAAUAAUGAUGAAUAGCCAACUUCUUUGAAUCCAGAGGGACACCUAGGUAUAUGAAAGGGAGGUUUCCUUCAGUGAAUCCUAGAACUGCAAUAAUCUCUUCUCUGAUAUCCAGUGGAACUCCAGCCAAAUAGAUUGCACUCUUACUUACAUUAGCCUGAAGGCCAGAUGCUGCUGAAAAUUGAAGGAAGGUCCUGUGCAAUAUCUGGAUGGAUAUUAAGUCUGCUCUGCAAAACAUGAGCAAGUCAUCUGCAAAACAGACAUGGGAUAUGUUGAGUUUCCUGCACAGGAUGAAAAUU